CGGCUCGCGGCCGGCUCCGCCCCGGGGGGCGGGCAGGGGAAGCGGCUCCCCUCGCACUAACCGGGGCAGGGACGUGGCGGGCGAAACCCGGGCCGGGCAGGAGAGGAGGGGCUGCCGCCCCGGGCCCCUCGUCCUGCCCCCGUCCGUGCCCGGAGGGGCCCCAAGUGCAGGCACCGGCUGCCCCGCUGUUCCCUCACGUGCGGGAUCCCCGGCCUAGCCAGGAGCCUGGCCACCGUGGGCGAGGUUCAUUAUAACAAAAGGAUGCACUCUGCACGACCUUGGGAGCCUUUGACAUUGGGAAAUCAAAAGGGUGGUGACACUAAGGAAAACUAUUGUCCAGAAAAAUAAGCCUCUCCAAGGGGCACCAAGAAUCCACAAUAAAAUCCCUGUUUCCAAGAAAAUUCAGGCAUUUCCAUCAAAAAAGACUGUGUUUACAGGACUGGUCCAGAGUGUCCAUGAGAUUCUAAGGAAAAACUAUUCUCAUAUGACUUUUCUUCAUUAACUACAUUACUUAAGAGAAAUACAUAAUCGUAAGACUUGCGACAUGGCUCAGAACAAGACUUUGAAGCCCACCCGCUGAAGUUCCCAUCUAUUGAGACAACUUCUACAGGCACCAGGACAAUUUCAUCCUACUUUCCUAAAUUAGAGAUUGUGUCACUUUACAUAGAAAAC